CAUGCGACGUAGCACCAUGGGAAUAUUGCAACGAUUCGGAAUUAUAUAUGACAUCCUAACAUCAUCAAUAAUUCACUACCAACAGAGUUGGAGAAACUAUAUCCAGUAUACUUGCAAGUUAAAGCUUCUUUCAUGUGAAGGUUAGCAACCCAUUGUUCUCAUCUACAUGAUAUCAGGUGACUUACAACACAUGGUUAAAGCAAAACAAAGAAACCAGUAGAAUGAUCGAAGAAAAGAUGGUGUACCAACCAGCACCAGCACUAUCUCUUCUCAAAGACAAAAGAAAAAAAAAAGACCAACCAGCACUAUCAAUGGCAGAGAAAGUUUCCAGAUCCUAUCAUGAAAGAAAUGGAUUGACACCCUAGUUAAUGAAUUUCAGUGAGUUCAUUUUGUUCAUGAAUGCCAUUCGAACUGUUUCAGAUUUCAUCGACCAAUCACGGCUUAGGAGGUCGACAUCCCUCUUCAUUUGGCACUGGCCUAGCAUAUAUUUAAAAACCAGUGGUGUCCCUUCCACUAUAUUUCAUCAAAACUGUAUCAAAAUUUAUGAAAGAUAUCUUAAAGCAUACUGGCCCACU
rnacentral:lncRNA from 1 species